GAGUUUGAUCCUGGCUCAGAACGAACGCUGGCGGCGUGCCUAACACAUGCAAGUCGAACGUGAUCCAGAGCUUGCUCUGGUGAAAGUGGCGCACGGGUGAGUAACGCGUGGAUAACCUACCCUGGUAUCCGGGAUAACAUUCCGAAAGGGGUGCUAAUACCGGAUAAGCCCACGGGCUCUUUGGAGCUUGCGGGAAAAGGUGGCCUCUAUUUAUAAGCUACUGUAUCAGGAUGGGUCCGCGUACCAUUAGCUAGUUGGCGGUGUAACGGACCACCAAGGCGACGAUGGUUAGCUGGUCUGAGAGGAUGAUCAGCCACACUGGAACUGAGACACGGUCCAGACUCCUACGGGAGGCAGCAGUGGGGAAUUUUGCGCAAUGGGGGAAACCCUGACGCAGCAACGCCGCGUGAGUGGUGAAGGCCUUUGGGUCGUAAAGCUCUGUCAGAGGGGAAGAAUGAUAUAGUGCUUAUACCACUUUAUCUUGACGGUACCCUCAAAGGAAGCACCGGCUAACUCCGUGCCAGCAGCCGCGGUAAUAC
rnacentral:rRNA from 1 species